rnacentral:tRNA from 1 species
GGAGAGAUGGUCGAGUGGUCGAAGGCGCCACAUUGGAAAUGUGGUGAUGGGCAACUAUCCGAGGGUUCGAAGCCCUCUCUCUCCGCCA